GACAGAGGGUGCAACCGUUGUUCGGAAUUACUGGGCGUAAAGCGUGUGUAGGCGGUCCGCUAAGUCGGGUGUGAAAGCCCUGGGCUCAACCCAGGAAGUGCACUCGAAACUGGCGGGCUAGAGUAUCGGAGAGGUUGGUGGAAUUCUCGGUGUAGAGGUGAAAUUCGUAGAUAUCGAGAGGAACACCGGUGGCGAAGGCGGCCAACUGGACGAAUACUGACGCUGAGACACGAAAGCGUGGGGAGCAAACAGG
rnacentral:rRNA from 1 species